rnacentral:rRNA from 1 species
GAUGAACGCUGGCGGCGUGCCUAAUACAUGCAAGUCGAGCGAACGGACGAGAAGCUUGCUUCUCUGAUGUUAGCGGCGGACGGGUGAGUAACACGUGGAUAACCUACCUAUAAGACUGGGAUAACUUCGGGAAACCGGAGCUAAUACCGGAUAAUAUUUUGAACCGCAUGGUUCAAAAGUGAAAGACGGUCUUGCUGUCACUUAUAGAUGGAUCCGCGCUGCAUUAGCUAGUUGGUAAGGUAACGGCUUACCAAGGCAACGAUGCAUAGCCGACCUGAGAGGGUGAUAGGCAACACUGGAACUGAGACACGGUCCAGACUCCUACGGGAGGCAGCAGUAGGGAAUCUUCCGCAAUGGGCGAAAGCCUGACGGAGCAACGCCGCGUGAGUGAUGAAGGUCUUCGGAUCGUAAAACUCUGUUAUUAGGGAAGAACAUAUGUGUAAGUAACUGUGCACAUCUUGACGGUACCUAAUCAGAAAGCCACGGCUAACUACGUG